rfam:Gossypium hirsutum cultivar TM-1 chromosome 17, whole genome shotgun sequence
UAUUAAAAUUUUUAUCCAUUUGUACUGUUAAAAAUUGAUAUGACUAACGAAAUAACCCGAGAAUAACACAUGGUAUGCAACAUGCACCUCAUACUGGCGUACAUAGGCCAAUUUUUAACGGUAGAAUUUUAUGAAAUUUUUAACA